UAGAACUCCAGUCAUCUUAUGAAGAUAAAUAUGUUGAUCCAAAGGCAGUACAGAAUUGAAUCCAUGGGUUCUUAAGAAGAUAUUACAGAAAUUGAAUAUUCAACGUUCAGCUUACCACAGGCUCGAGCAAACAUGACAUAGCCAUUGGAUCGUCGAUAUUGGUAAAGUCUCGACGCGAAUAAAGCUGUAUUGAUGGAGAUGAAGAUUGAAAUAAAUGCAAUAUAGACGACUCUUUCCUGCAAAUUGAUUCAUCGCGUCGAGAAAUUCCUGUAAGGAUAUGGUACCGGAAUUGUCCUUGUCGAAUAUUUGGAACACUCUGUCAGUGAAGAAUGGCUGAAAAUAUAAAUCAAAUAUGAAGAAGAAAGUAAAUUGAAUAAAAAUUGAAAAUGUUAAACUGCAAAUUCCAAAUGAAGAAUACUUAUGCCUCCUGCCUAC